rnacentral:lncRNA from 1 species
GAAGAGGAAAAAGGAAAAACUUGCUUGUUACGCUUCUUUCUUCUCUUCAUCGGACGAUCACCGUUCGUUUGCUUCUAGCCAUCCGAUCCUUUCCAACGCAGCUCCGGUCAGAUCUUCUUCUCCAUCGGUCAGGGUCGCGAGCUUGGCGUCGUCCUCUCUGGGCAAGACGUGUUUUGAUUAUGUAACAUUUGGGCCAUGGGAGCCUUUUUCUCUUGCACAGGAGCCUUAGCUCGAGGAAGCUUUCUCCAAAUUAAAAUGGUAGAAUGUUUCUCUCCUUUUUCCAAAUGAAGCAUGAACACGAGACCCCCUUAGGCAGCUGCAGCCUCUUUCUCCAAACGCAACGUUUCAUUAAUUGGGAUUCAGCCCAAAUCCAGCACGUCCAGCCAGCGUCUAGUAGCAAAUUUACAGCCCAAAUGAUUUCAACCAGCAGCGGCCCAAUCAUAUCUUCAGAUCAACUCCAG